GGGUUGACCUUUUAGUUGAUAAUGAGCCCAAAAAGUGAUCUAUAUUAUCCCAGGAUGUGACGAGUCAACAUCGAGUUGUUGAUUCAUUUGUCCUUGUAAGCUCUUUCCUUCCCAAUGGUGGUCCAACUUUUUCCGGUAAUCGCUCUUGAUCAUAUGUGUUUGCGAUUCAGUACCCUGAUGUUUAGACAGCUGGAGUUGCAAAGGAAGCUUUGGAAGGGCAUUGCAUAUAUGACGGGGUUUUGCAAACUCCAUAUCUCGUAUUCGCGCCAUACGGAUCUUAGCAUAAAGGUUAACAAUGAUCGGAGCGAGACUACACAAUCCCCAACACCACGAUGAUGAAUCCUCAACCUUCAAUUCUAGGGCAGCAACCGGCUUUAGCUAUAAGCAACUUUGCUAGCAUGUGGUUCAUUCUCCUUUUCGUCUCAAUUUUCGCAACUGGUAUUCUUGAGCUCUGUUGGAGUGGUUUCAGCAUUGAGG